UUAGUAGAAGAAACUUCUUCACUGAGAGGGUUAUUAAACACUGGAAUAGGCUCCCCAGACAGGUGGUUGAAUCUACCAGACUUGGUAGAGUUAGAUAAUGGUUGGACCUGACAAUUUUAAAAGCCUUUUUCUAUGAUUCUGUGAUUUUCUGCAGCUGCAGGAGGUGAAUUGCUGAGUAUGAGUGAAGAGCAGAGUACAACACAGAUGUCAGCAAGAAGGAGAGUCACUCAAAUGCUUAAGGGGAGAGCUUAGCACAGGGCUUUACUGAGGUGCCCAGAGGCAAGUAAUCUUGCCGACUGGGUGUUUGAGUGCUGCUGGGUUUGAUUUUUGCUCUUUGUGCAGUAGGGCAUGUUCAGAUUCAAAUCUGACCAACUACCCAGCUGGUCUGGCUUGCCUUCUUAAGGGCUGGCUGAAUGCUGGUGACUCAGUGCUUAGCAGGAUCCUCUGGAAACUAUGUCUGGUUCCUCUUCCUCCUGUGAGGCACAGGGUGACAAGAUUUUGGUCUGAGUGCACCAGCAUGCACACAAAAUGAGUUAGUAACUACUGUAAUGGAAGCUGAGUGAAAUGGAAUCCUGAACACCUGUUCUCAUCAAUUCUUAUCCACAUGGAGAGGAGACAAGCAUUUUCCUGGAGGAUGAAAUGAAGUAAUAAAGCAGAGCAAAUCUCUGGUGUACAACAUCACUUAGCACAUAAUAAAUAACAGCAUCAUUAUAGGUA